rfam:Aspergillus luchuensis DNA, map: 4-1 F, contig: AA1_SCon_008, strain: RIB 2604.
ACAUACGACCAUAGGGUGUGGAAAACAGGGCUUCCCGUCCGCUCAGCCGUACUUAAGCCACACGCCGGGAGGUUAGUAGUUGGGUGGGUGACCACCAGCGAAUCCCUUCUGUUGUAUGUA